AUGCAUGGAAGGAGAAUAUGGCAACUCCUUUAUGGCCAUCCCACGCAUGCUGGACAGCUCCUUUGUUGCACAUUAAAUUCGGCCAUUAAAUGGCCACAAGAAAAGCACCGGCAACUCCUUUAAUGUCGUUCCUUGCAUGUAGAACAGCAUCUUUAAUGCAUGUCUUGCUGUUCAUUAAAUUCGGCCAACAUGCCUCAUUUAAAUGCUGUCCCACGUCCAUGUACCGCACCCAUUAAAAUUCAGCCUUUAAUUCACAUUUUCAGGCACAUUAAAAAUGGUCAACAGACAUAUUAAAUUCGGCAGCCACAAUUAACUUCAGCUGGACACCAUUUAAGACAUCAUUAAAUUUGUUGUAGCAAGACAAAUUAAAUGAUGUAAUGGCUAUUAAAUUCAGCUGGUUAACUAAGCCAAGAAAAAUUAAAUUCAGCUGGAAAAUAAUCAAUAAAUUCGGCAACCUAAGGCACAUUUAAUUCAGCAGCCUAGACAAGUUAAUUAAAUUCGGCUGAACAUUAAAUAACAGCUUAGGCAUAAUAAUUCAGCAAUAAGACACAUUAAUUAAUUGUAAUAAGACAAACACAUUUAUGCUAUGUAAUAAUUAAAACAAAUUAAACAUGCAUUAAACAAACAUAAUUAAAAUGUCCAGAUUUCUUAAUUAAAUACUUAGUAAUUAUUUAAGCUAAAUUAACUAACUCAACUAAUUAAUUUAUUCCAGCAAAUUAAAUUAAAUGAGCUAGAGAGCUAAUAACGAGCUCAAUGAGCUGACUUGAGCUCGAAUGAACCAGAAAUGAGCUUCAUCUUGCACUUGGGGCCCUCGUGUUUAGGCCAAUCUCAUCGGUGUUGGGUUGUGUCAUUACAUGAUGCGAUCGAGAUCACAUCAUACCCUCCCUCUUGAAGAUGAUUUGUCCUCAAAUCGGGCCACUUGCUCGAAAAAAAAAUUUCAAGAUCUCGAACCCUUUUGUUCAUGACCCGAAUAGAAUCAUUUCCAAAACUUUGAAAAUCACAAAUUGUUCGAGAAAGAAUUGAAUUAUUUCCACGUCCUUCCUCUUUUUGAGGGAACCAUCCCGAAGUGUCACCUACACAAGAAAGAGAUAGGUUAGUGACACUAGAAAUUAUAAACUCAAAUGAAUUUUUGAAGAUCUAUUCAACAAGUGAACAUAUGAGUCAAUGCCGGGAUCAAAAAUAGAAGUUGGUCUCACCUUAACAUAAUGAAUUAAAAAAUUCAUUGAUUGCAACAAACCUGAAUCGCAAGGCACUCGAUAGCUAUAAUUUUGGAAGUCAACUUCCCAUGGUUCGAAUCCCUUUGACAACAAUUUAAAAUGAUAUGCACCGGGGUCAAAAACAUAGUUUCCUCUUGCCAUUCCAAUUUGAUAUGACAAUUUCAAAACCAGUAUCAUAAAAAGGAAAUGAUGAAAUUUUAAGUAAUGAUUAUGCAAAACAUAUUCGAACCUUUUAAACCAAAGUAUGAAGCAAUUACUAGAAUCAUAAAUCAAAUUUCGGCUUUGCAAGCUAACAAUAUUCACAUGCUUGGUUCUAGAACAACCAGAUAUAUCAAAUUUCACUUGAUCUAACUUACACAAAGCAGUAACGUCUCACCACCAUCACAAACAAAUGAACUAGAUAUUUUACUCAUCAACGUUUUAUCACACAAACGAAUCAGCAAAUUCAAAUUGUCAUCACAUACAAGCAGAUUUGACGUGUGAUAUGCCAACCUUUUAUCACAAAAAACCAAAUUUUGUUCGGGCUCACCUGGACUUACUUCUUGAUCAAUAUUGACAAUGAUAGGCUCAUGAGCAGAAAGAUAUUUCGCAUUACUAUGUAAAAUACAUCCAUCAACAAUAAAAUUAUGAUUUCCAAUCAAAUCAAGAUGAAAAACUUUCUCACAAACUAAGUCUUUGGUAAUCUUGUCAUCAAAAUUCAACUAAGAUUGGGAAGACUUAAAUAUAGUAGAACCCUUGCAUGGCUUACCUUUAAGCACUUGUGGACUAUGGUCAUCUACGAUCUUACCUUUGUCGACUAAUCGAAAUCGUCUCUUCUCAGAAAAAUAUUGAAGUUGAAAUUGAUCAAUGGGAUUUCGAGAAACCUGAAAAGUAGAAACAAUACAAGGAAAAUUCGUAGGAUGGUUAGUAACAACACUCCUUGCUUGUUCACUUUCAUCCUUUUCGCUUAUUUCUUUUUCCAACUCAUUUUCAAAUCCUCUUUCUUUUAUCAUAUCACUCAUUUCUUUUGCACUCUCAUUUCUUUCUUCAAUCUCACUCUCUUUUUCAGUUUUCUUUUUUUUUUCACACUCGUUUUUAUCCUCAAUCUCAUUUUCAAUUUUCUUUUCUAUCUCAAACUCAUCUUCUUUUUCUUUUUCUCGCUCGCACUCUUUUUUUUUCACAUGCUAUUUCAAUUCCAUUACAAAAAUAAAAAUCAUCAAAAUGAGAAACCUUUUGUUGAGAAUAAGAAAAGGAUUCUUCAUACAAAUGACAAUCAUCUCUUUGUAAUAAAUCUUCUGUAGCCGAGUACCUUGACACUCUUCUAACACGUUCGCCUUCGCGUAAAUAAUCCUUCGUAGAUGAACGACUUGAUGCACUUGAAGAGAGAUAUCUUCUUUCUCAGGUAUCAUCUUGAAAAACCUUAUUCUCAAAACUUUCUUUUUUUCUACUCAAAUUCUUUGAUGAAUAGUAAUCUUGGUAUAGAUCUCUUCUUGAGUAGGAAUCAUGAAAAUCUCUUUUCACCAAGUUAUUAAAUGUUUUUCUCCAUGAUGAUCUUGUUUUCGUCUCUUGACUUGAAGAGAUUUUCUUCCGUUGGAAUCGUUCAUCCAACUUCUUCAAUCGCUCUUUAAUCAGUUCCAAUUUUCUUUGAAGCAUUUGACCCACCUCGUGAAUAAUCGUUUGAUAUGUUGGGUCGAUCAGAACAUCACCAUAUUCUUCACCAUCAAUCCCUUCAAAACUUCUUGACAUCAUAUUUAAUCACACAACAAAACUCACACUUCUCUCACAAAGAAAAUUCACACAAUUUGGCUUUUACUUCUCUCGAAUGGUCUCACCAAUCGCUCUUGCCUUUUUCCACUCGAUUUUCGCCUCUCGAAGUUCUCCGCAAACUAGGUCGACAAAUCAAUACCGUUUGGGGUCGAUUUACAAAAUUGAUGUGGCUUGGUGGGGUUAAUGUCGGGAUUAAAGGUAGCCUAUCAAACAAAAUAGAAAAUGUUAAGUGUGGCUGGAAAUGAAUUUAGUACUUCAGGCAGCAAACAAUGCUUUUACAAACUCAAAAUGAAUUUCAAUCACUCUUUUUUUUUUCAAUUUCGAAAUUUUUUUUCUUUUUUUUUUGUUCUUCAAUACUGAAUACAACAAGGAAAAAUGAAUUGAAUACAAACUUUUUUUUUGAAUUUUUUUUUGAAUUUUUUUUUGAAUUUUUUUUUUUAUUUUUUUACAAUACCGUAAUACCGAAGAUGGCGAUUCUUACUCCAAUUCAGCUAGCUCUAAUACCAAAUGAUACGCCCCAGCCUCGGUGAUGAGAGUCGAGUCGUUGAUGUGCCCGAUUGUGAAUUGGAGUAAUAUUAAGGUUUGUCGAAAAUAGGUUAAGAAAGAAAAUAUAAAGGCUCAAAUUAGUUCAAAAGUGGUGAUGGAAUGUAUUGAGGUUGAUAUGUGAACGAAAAUAAAGUAUUCAAGUUGAACCAACACAAUAUAAUUGAGUUAACCCGGGACUUAUAUGAAUACUUAGGUAUGUUUGUAUGGAUGGAAAACGAAUAAAUUGGAACCUCGACCCACUAUCAAAGAUGAUAGGAACCUCGGUAUAAUUUGAACGCCACACUUUUGGUGCAAAGUGAUAAGUUCGGGAAAGAAAGCCGGGUUGACGCCACAAGGGUUACUUGAUAAGUCAGACGAGUCUUUGGAAAACAAUGAGAGUUGAAAACAAACUAACAAAAUGUAUAAACGUUAAUCCAGGUUCAAAAAGUUAUUUUACAAUGAAAAUAAACAACUAUUUAUAGCCAAAAACAAGGGCUAGCCGAAUGGUCAUUAUAGAACAUGAAUGGUCAAUUCGGUUCAGCCUUAAUGAACUGAAAGUUAAAGGAAAAUUCCAGGUAGCUUCUUGUGUGUUGGGGACGUCAACAGCCAGCUUCUAGAGGCCUUGGAAUCAGCUGGAAAGUAAUGAGCUACAUUGGGAGCUGAAUGGGACAAGCUAAGUUCGGCCAAUAAUUGUUGAGCUAUUAAAAAUUGCUUUGAUUAGCUGAAACGUCUUGGAAGCUUUAAUGAGUAGUUUUGGAGACUCCACCGGCCUUGCAAUGUGAAUUUAUGGAAGGGAAUUUUCACCCUUGCAAUGCACAAAGGGAUGCUUGGAAAAUAGCAACCAGCAGCCCACUUUCUUUAAUUGCAAGGCCUCUUUUAAAUUCUGCUCAUUCAUUCUCUCAAAUGGGCGGCACCUGUAUGGCAUUUGAGGAACACGAAAAUGGCUCAUGGGAAAUAGAAAACAGCAACUCUUCUUUAAAUGAUGUCCAUGCAUGGAAGGAGAAUUUGGCAACUUCUUUAUGGCCAUCCCACUCAUGCUGGACAGCUCCUUUGUUGCACAUUAAAUUCGGCCAUUAAAUGGCCACAUAAAAAGCACCAGCAACUCCUUUAAUACCGUUCAUUGCAUGUAGAACAGCAUCUUUAAUGCAUGUCUUGCUGUUUAUUAAAUUCGGCCAACAUGCCUCAUUUAAAUGCUUUCCCACGUCCAUGUACCUGAACCCAUUAAAAUUCAGCCUUUAAUUCACAUUUUCAGGCACAUUAAAAAUGGUCAACAAACAUAUUAAAUUCGGCAACCACAAUUAACUUCAGAUGGAAACCAUUUAAGACAUCAUUAAAUUCAUUGUAGCAAGACAAAUUAAGUGAUGUAAUGACAAUUAAAUUCAGCUGGUUAACUAAGCCAAGAAAAAUUAAAUUCAGCUGGAAAAUAAUCAAUAAAUUCGGCAACCUAAGGCACAUUUAAUUCAGCAGCCU
rnacentral:lncRNA from 1 species